AUGAACGAGGACGGAUCCAAGGUUGAGUACUGGGUGUGGAACCCCUUCAGAUCCAAGUUGGCUGCUGUUGUACUCUGUGGUGUGGACAACAUCUGGAUUGUCCGAGGAAUUACAGCUUGGGGACUUGGAGGCGAUCGUAAAAGCGGUGUGCUACAGUGUAAUGCACUAGCAAUAUGUGAAGAUUUCUUUAAGGAGGGGGUUAAUAAACAAUCAGAAAAUUCUUUUGCCCCCUCAGAAAACUAUGUUCCGUGUUUGGCCCCUCUGGGCAUUGAUGUGAAGCUAUACAGUCGUGUAAUAUGA
rnacentral:rRNA from 1 species